rnacentral:piRNA from 2 species
UCCUUUUGACCCUGCUCUUAAAGACACAGC